rnacentral:rRNA from 1 species
AGUGAACGCUGGCGGUAGGCCUAACACAUGCAAGUCGAACGGCAGCACAGUAAGAGCUUGCUCUUACGGGUGGCGAGUGGCGGACGGGUGAGGAAUACAUCGGAAUCUACUUUUUCGUGGGGGAUAACGUAGGGAAACUUACGCUAAUACCGCAUACGACCUACGGGUGAAAGCAGGGGAUCUUCGGACCUUGCGCGAUUGAAUGAGCCGAUGUCGGAUUAGCUAGUUGGCGGGGUAAAGGCCCACCAAGGCGACGAUCCGUAGCUGGUCUGAGAGGAUGAUCAGCCACACUGGAACUGAGACACGGUCCAGACUCCUACGGGAGGCAGCAGUGGGGAAUAUUGGACAAUGGGCGCAAGCCUGAUCCAGCCAUACCGCGUGGGUGAAGAAGGCCUUCGGGUUGUAAAGCCAUUUUGUUGGGAAAGAAAAGCGGCAGGUUAAUACCCCGCUGUUCUGACGGUACCCAAAGAAUAAGCACCGGCUAACUUCGU